AUGAGGAGGUGGUGAUUUGUGAAGAGUUAAUCUCAAAGGGUUCAACAGUUUAAUACUGAAUUUAAUAUUGAAUGGAUAAACAUCCAAAAAAUUUGUUUAUCUGGAACUUGUCUGAACUUGGUCUUAAAAUCAACUGGACAUUUCAUUAUAUUGGAUUUUUCCUCACAAAAUUUCCAACAGUACUUCCUGGUUUCACCCAACAUCAAAUAACUGCACAAGACAACAAGUAAAAGAACACAUGCCAAAUAUAAACAGGGCAACAAAGCAAUGCAGAUCUGGUUCUCAUAAUAAAACAUUAUGAAAAAUGCUCCUCAGAAGACAACGACUUUGAAGAUGAUGAUACAGACAUGUCUCAACAAUCUGGAUCAACCGGUUAAAUAGACAACUCAUUUUUGCACCAUUCUUAGGGAGUGCCUACCAUGUUUUACUGUUCCAGGUCUAUCUUAGACAUAAGGAGUUAUGGAUGCCCAUCAUCUGCAAUGUCUAUAAGGUCAGAAUCAUCAACUGGUACCACCAACAGUGCUGCAACUAAACAUACAUCAGAUACUAUAUUACCUGUAUAUAGCUAUAGUGUAAAUCAACAUGUUUUAAUGGUUAAAAUCAAUGGGUAUACACCUUUCUUUAGAAAAUAACUGAAAGUACA